rnacentral:lncRNA from 1 species
UAUGGGGCAGCUAUGGGGCAGCUAUGGGGCAGGGCUAUGGGGCAGCUAUGGGGUCGCUAUGAGACAGUUAUGGGGCAGUUAUGGGGCAGGGCUAUGGGGCUGCUAUGGGGCAGCUAUGGGGCAAGGCUAUGGGGCAGCUAUGGGGCAGUUAUGGGGCAGGGCUAUGGGGCAGCUAUGGGGUCGCUAUGAGACAGUUAUGGGGCAGGGCUAUGGGGCUGCUAUGGGGCAGUUAUGGGGCUGCUAUGGGGCAGCUAUGGGGCAGGACUAUGGGGCAGUUAUGGGGCAGCUAUGGGGCAGGGCUAUGGGGCAGCUAUGGGGUCGCUAUGGGGCAGUUAUAGGGCAGCUAUGGGGUGGCUAUGUGUCGCUAUGGGGCAGUUGGUUAUGGGUCGCUAUGGGGCAGCUAUGGGGUGGUUCUGGGGUGGUUCUGGGUCGCUAUGGGUCGCUAUGGGGCAGUAAUGGGGUGGUUAUGGGGCGGUUAUGGGGUGGCUAUGGGUCGCUAUGGGUCGCUAUGGGGCAGCUAUGGGGUGGUUAUGGGGCGGUUAUGGGUCGCUAUUGGGCAGCUAUGGGGUGGUUAUGGGGUGGUUCUGUGUUGCUAUGGGUCGCUAUGGGGCAGUAAUGGGGUGGUUCCGGGUUGCUAUGGGUCGCUAUGGGGCAGUAAUGGGGUGGUUAUGGGGCGGUUACGGGGCAGUUAUGGGUCGCUAUGGGUCGUUAUGGGGCGGCUAUGGGUCGCUAUGGGGCAGUGAUGAGUUACUAUAAGUUGCUAUAGCUCACUAUGGGUCUCUGGGGUGGCUAUGGGUCGCUAUGGGGCAGUAAUGGGGUGGCUAUGGGUCGCUAUGGGGCAGUAAUGGGGUGGUUAUGGGGUGGCUAUGGGUCGCUAUGGGGCAGUUAUGGGUCGCUAUGGGGCAGUGAUGAGUUACUACAAGUUGCUAUAGCUCACUAUGGGUCUCUAUGGGGCGGCUAUGGGUCGCUAUGGGUUGCUAUGGGUCGCUAUGGGUCGCUAUGGGGCGGCUAUGGGUCGCUAUGGGUCGCUAUGGGUCGCUAUGGGUCGCUAUGGGGCGGCUAUGGGUCGCUAUGGGGCAGCUAUGGGGUGGUUCUGGGUCGCUAUGGGUCGCAAUGUGUCGCUAUGGGGCAGUUAUGGGGUGGCUAUGGGUCGCUAUGGGUCGCUAUGGGGCAGCCAUGGGUCGCUAUGGGGCGGUUAUGGGGUGGCUAUGGGUCGCAAUGUGUCGCUAUGGGGCGGUUAUGGGGUGGCUAUGGGUCGCUAUGGGUCGCUAUGGGGCGCUAUGGGUCGCUAUGGGUCGCUAUGGGGCGGUUAUGGGGUGGUUCUGGGUCGCAAUGUGUCGCUAUGGGGCAGUUAUGGGUCGCUAUGGGUCGCUAUGGGGUGGUUCUGGGUCGCUAUGGGUCGCUAUGGGGCGGCUAUGGGUCGCUAUGGGGCAGCUAUGGGGCGGCUAUGGGUCGCUGUGGGUCGCUAUGGGGCAGUAAUGGGGUGGUUAUGGGGUGGCUAUGGUUCGCUAUGGGUCGCUAUGGGUCGCUAUGGUUCGCUAUGGGUCGCUAUGGGGCGGCUAUGGGUCGCUAUGGGGCAGCUAUGGGGUGGUUAUGGGGUGGCUAUGUGUCGCUAUGGGUCGCUAUGGGUCGCUAUGGGGUGGCUAUGGGUCACUAUGGGUCGCUAUGGGUCGCUAUGGGUCGCUAUGGGGUGGCUAUGGGUCACUAUGGGUCGCUAUGGGUCGCUAUGGGUCGCUAUGGGUCGCUAUGGGGCAGUUAUGGGUCACUAUGGGUCGCAAUGUGUCGCUAUGGGGCGGUUAUGGGUCGCUAUGGGUCGCUAUGGGGCGGCUAUGGGUCGCUAUGGGUCGCUAUGGGUCACUAUGGGUCGCUAUGGUCGCUAUGGCGUCGCUAUGGGGCGGUUUAGGGGGUAUGGGUCGCCUGUGGGUCGCUAUGGGGGCGGCUAUCCGGUCGCUAUGGGAGCG